rnacentral:lncRNA from 1 species
CAGACCAUGCCUUAUGACACACACACAAGACAGCCAUUCCUAUCCUCAACAGCUACAGGAGCCAGAGCAGAGAGACAAAAUCUUUUUAUUACUUUGUUUUCCCCUGCUAUUCUUCAAUAUGGUGGAUUCAAAGCAUAUUGUGGACACAGUAGGCCUUUAUUGACGUGAGACCAUGCAGAAAAUGCUACUUUCUCUCAACCUCCUGGAUCAGCAUUCAGCAGCCUCGUGACACAGUUGAAGCCAUUAUCGAAUUCUUUGCGUGUAUGUACCCUGGAUCAAGCAGCACUUGCAUUAUACAGGAGAUUCCACCCAAAAUCUAAACCAUGAGUCCAAGCUGAAGAGGAAUAUUUCCAAAAUGAGGUCUACACACACACAGAGGUUACUUUCCCCUUCAUUAUAGAGAUAUCGAGAGAGAGAGAGAGAGAGAUGGGUGGGGGGGGGGGAGUGAGUUAUAGCCACGAACCUGAAUAGCUUAGAUGUAGAACUGAGAUGCCCAUUCAUGUCACUUGCCAUUUUAAUGAAUUCCAGGGUUUACAAACAUACAUAUUAACACUUUGGGUAAAAGAUCUCUGUAUUUGCAUAAAUUUGUUAUUACUAUUUAUGAAGUAGACCUGUUUCAUAAUGCUUAUGUAGUAGAUCAGUCUCAUACUCGACCCCAGCCCCUUCAUAUCACAAUGUCAAUUCCUAAAACCUGUGGCAAAUUAUAUAAGUUAGUAAUAGAGAAAAAUUGAAUGAGGUAGAUGCAAUACAAAUCGAUUCCAAUCUUAAGCACUUAAGACUUUAUUCAGGUAUGGCACGUGAACCGCCCAAAAAAUUCCAAAAAUGCUGCAGUUUUGUUUUAUGUUUAAAGUGAACGGUAACAAAGGACCUACAUGUUUUUGUAUAUUUUGGACUGCGCAUAUUCAGUGAUCUCUGUAUUAUAAUAUAUAGAAAUGUAAAGCAUAUAGAACUUUAUGUCAACUCCAGCAUCAUAUAUGAACGAGCCUUAAAAGACAAUUCAACCCUUGUAAUAAGUUCAUUGAAAUGGAAGCUGAAAAAUAAGAGAAAUAGAAAGGCGAAAGUUUGAAAUAAAUCGGGCCAAUAUAAAGGGAGUUGUGAUAAUAUAUAAAUAUGAGAUCACUAAAUCCAUGCAUAUCUCAAUGAAAUGCUAGAGCGCCGUAUGGCAGCCGUGCUAAAGCCAGGGUAAUAAUCGGGAGCGCCAGGAGGGUCAAAUCUGACUGACAUGAGCGCUACACAAGAACCCACUAUUAUUAUUAUUAUUACACCUGUAGUCAUGGGACAACUCUCCCAUUUGUUAAUGAAAUAUAAUAAAUUCUCUUUUUAUUUUAAGUGCCUUCUCCCUUUGAGAACUACUCAAAAUAUAUUAUGAAUAGCACAUUAUUACAGGUCCUCUACAUAGAAAAGCCACUCGUGAAUCAUACAUUUUGAAGAAAAAAAUAUUUAAAUAAUUUUGUGUGUUGAAAUAAAUGGGAAAGUAGUCCAGCAGCUCGUCAUAGUGACAUUACCGAUUCAGCCAAUUUAAAAUGCCCUUAGGUUUAGUGAUUACAGCUUUCAACAAUCCAUAACCACCUUAUUUUCUGUCAGAUUUAAUUUGCUAUUUUUUAAAAGUAUAGUUGUCUGUUAAGGUUGGAUUUCCCUUUAAAAAGUGUAAAGGGUAAGCCCUAUGUAACAUAAUGUGAUUAGGCCAUUUUCGUUAUAAAUCAAAUCAAAGUGCCGCGGAACAAAUUAUCUCUUUCACCUAUUAAGAAUAAUUGUAUUUCAAUAGUCAGAAUGCGAUAUGCAAACAUUAUGUGUUGUUAGGUAGGGCAAGACAUAAUGUUUGUCCUACCUAUAGUACUAGCAACACGUAAUGUAUUCAAUUUGUAUUCUGACUAUUUAAAUACAUUUAUUCGUAACAGGUGAAUUUAAUAAUUGGUAAUGAGGCACUUAACAAGGACCUACCGUAUUCAUUAAAUUUGAUUACAAUACGAAAAUGACCUACGUACAGUACAUGUAUUCAUAUGGAUAGGAAAUCUUUGAACUGUUAUGUAGUUUUCUGAGGGUUCAUAAUUUUAUAAAUUCUAAAGGGUUCAUAAUUCUACAAAUGAAGUAGGAUUCCUAAUUCUGAAAAUGAACUAGGAUUCGUAAUUCCAAAAAUGAAAUAUGGUUCAUAAUUCAGAAAAUUAAAUAGGGCUCAAUAUACUUCCAAAAGUUUAUUAUUCUGAAAAUGCAAAUAGAACCCUUUAUCCUUUUUGGAAUUACGAACCGUCAAUAUAAUGAAUCCUAUUUCAUAUUCAAAAUAACACCAUUUCAUUUGCCGAAUUAUGAACCCUAUUUCAAUAUCGUUAUUAACGCCCCUUUUUUAAUUCCAGAAUUAUGCACCAUUUAUAUUUUUCGUAAUUAUGAAAUCUAUUUCAUUUUUAAAUUCAAACCCUUCUUAAAUAUGGACCAUAUUUCAUUUAUCGAUUUGUCAUACUUUGUCAUAAUACACUGUACUAUCAAGUUACAUUUAUUGAUGAACAGCAUAUCACAGCACUUGUCAAAAUAGUAAGACCGUAAAUGAAUUUGUUUUGCUUGUGAAUGUAGCAGGCUUAUAUUAUGUAGUACACAAUAUUACAUUUCCAAUUGCUGCAACUUCAUAUCAAUCUUUUACAUGUACUAUGACAAUCUACAGGUCAAAAUCAUGCUUUGCGUAAUCAUUUGUGAAUUAUUCUCUAUUUAAUAUACAUGAAUGAAGUACUUAAAUUUGUGCAAAUGAACUUAUUCUCCAUGGUGGAAAAUUACAAACGAAAUUUCUCAGCAAAAACUAUUUCUCAUUGUUUCUACUCAUGAUGGCUACCGUAAGAUAACUAUUGCAAAUUGCCAAACCUACUCUUUUAAACAUCUACUUCAAAUUUUCAAGAUUGAUUUCUCUUUGUUAAAACUGGCCAUAAUUUCUAGACAAUAAUUAGCCAAUUUAACAUUGUUUUUUUUUUAUAUUUCUUCUUUUGUUGUUGAAAUGUGUAAAAAAAAUCCUGUUUCAUUUAAGCUGUUAACCUUGCUUUUAAAAUUCAUGUCAUUGUAAUCACUAUAUGAUGUAUGAUAUUCUGACAGAUAAUUAAAGGAUACACUGUUAAGUGUUAAAUAUGAUAAAGAUGAA